GAUGAACGCUGGCGGCGUGCCUAAUACAUGCAAGUCGAGCGAAUGGAUUAAGAGCUUGCUCUUAUGAAGUUAGCGGCGGACGGGUGAGUAACACGUGGGUAACCUGCCCAUAAGACUGGGAUAACUCCGGGAAACCGGGGCUAAUACCGGAUAACAUUUUGAACCGCAUGGUUCAAAAUUGAAAGGCGGCUUCGGCUGUCACUUAUGGAUGGACCCGCGUCGCAUUAGCUAGUUGGUGAGGUAACGGCUCACCAAGGCAACGAUGCGUAGCCGACCUGAGAGGGUGAUCGGCCACACUGGGACUGAGACACGGCCCAGACUCCUACGGGAGGCAGCAGUAGGGAAUCUUCCGCAAUGGACGAAAGUCUGACGGAGCAGCGCCGCGUGAGUGAUGAAGGCUUUCGGGUCGUAAAACUCUGUUGUUAGGGAAGAACAAGUGCUAGUUGAAUAAGCUGACACCUUGACGGUACCUAACCAGAAAGCCACGGCUAACUACGUGCCAGCAGCCGCGGUAA
rnacentral:rRNA from 1 species